CUACGGGGGGCUGCAGUGGGGAAUAUUGCACAAUGGGGGGAACCCUGAUGCAGCAACGCCGCGUGGAGGAUGACGCAUUUCGGUGUGUAAACUCCUUUUAUAUGUCAAGAAAAUGACGGUAGCAUAUGAAUAAGCACCGGCUAACUCCGUGCCAGCAGCCGCGGUAAUACGGAGGGUGCAAGCGUUACUCGGAAUCACUGGGCGUAAAGGACGCGUAGGCGGGUUGGAAAGUCAGGUGUGAAAUCCUACAGCUUAACUGUAGAACUGCACUUGAAACUUCUAAUCUAGAGUAUGGGAGGGGGAGAUGGAAUUAGUGGUGUAGGGGUAAAAUCCGUAGAUAUCACUAGGAAUACCUAAAGCGAAGGCGAUCUCCUGGAACAUUACUGACGCUAAGGCGUGAAAGCGUGGGGAGCAAACCGGAUUAGAUACCCUCGUAGUC
rnacentral:rRNA from 1 species